AGAACGAACGCUGGCGGCAGGCUUAACACAUGCAAGUCGAACGCCCUCGCAAGGGGGAGUGGCAGACGGGUGAGUAACACGUGGGAACAUACCCUUCGGUUCGGAACAACGCCGGGAAACUGGCGCUAAUACCGGAUACGGCUUUUGAGCGAAAGAUUUAUCGCCGAAGGAUUGGCCCGCGUUCGAUUAGCUUGUUGGUGAGGUAACGGCUCACCAAGGCGACGAUCGAUAGCUGGUCUGAGAGGAUGGCCAGCCACAUUGGGACUGAGACACGGCCCAAACUCCUACGGGAGGCAGCAGUGGGGAAUAUUGGACAAUGGGCGCAAGCCUGAUCCAGCCAUGCCGCGUGAGUGAUGACGGCCUUAGGGUUGUAAAGCUCUUUCGCACGCGACGAUAAUGACGGUAGCGUGAGAAGAAGCCCGGCUAACUUCGCGCCAGCAGCCGC
rnacentral:rRNA from 1 species